CUCAACCCACUCCAUUUAUGUAUUUUUUCCAGAUAGUCAGGUUUACUAGAGCAAGGACCAGGUGGGAACUGUUGGUCGAGACUGAGCUUGGAUUAUCCGAUGAGAAGAAUUGUCUUCUUCCUUAUUUUUGUAUUAAUAUGUUGUUUCCAUUAGUUUCCUUCCGCUGUGAAUUUUUGUAAUUAGAAGUCAUUCUGUAAUUUAAUGUACUCAGAUUCAAUUAUGUAUAUUCCGACUAAAUAUUCUAGACAUUUUAGUUGGGGUGUUAUAA
rnacentral:lncRNA from 1 species